UCGCUUUCUCUAUCUCUCUCUCCCGCUGCUUCCUUGGUUUAGUGUUGCCUGUGUUGUGCCAGAAAGCAGUGUUGUAUAUUUUAUUGCGCUGUGCCCGUAAUCAUUGAGUGACCGCCCUGUGCGUGUGUUGACGCGUCAGGAAGGGAGUGUUGCGUCUCCAGGAGGGUCUUCCCCUUCCGAGUUGCGUCUGCGCUUGCUUCCUUCGUCAGGCACCUCCCACCUCACGCCUUGCUUCCUCCCGUCUCCCAGAGUCUACACACCUGCACUCUUGAGAAGCAGUUGGCCAAAAUAAUAAUGUCAGAAGUAAGACAAAGCUUUGAAGAAAGAACAUCUGUCAUAAAGUGUUACUGGAGGCACGAAAAUGUCAAAGAAGUGCAAAGACAAUUCAGAAGACACUUUGACAGGGAUCCACCCAGGUGACGCACCAUUGCUCGCAUCACAGCUAAAUUUGCAUCAACCAGCAGCAGCAGCAGCAGCAGCAUGUCAGUAGUAGCAGGAGUAGUGAAUGGUCACUCGUAUGUGGUGACUACUUGGACUAUCAGGCCGCCCUUGUAGUGUGCUGGACUAUUGGUCAACAAGGAGCCCUGAAAGUUACGUGGUACAACUAUUUCGGCGAUAGUAAUGGCUGUAAGUAGUAGUAGUAGUUGUAGUAAUAGUAGUAGUAAUAGUAGUUAUGCGUGUAAUGUCAAUAUGGUCCAUUUUGUAACUGUAAUUGGAAAAAUUCUCGACUUUAUGUUUCUUAAAGGCGUGACGUAAUUAGAGAAAACGUAUGUAUUUUAAGGGACACUAGCCUGUACUUCAUUAUUCCUGUUUAUUGCUAUUAAAGGAGUUUCUUGAUAGUUUUACUUGUAUAUACUAUUUAAAUCUACUAUUCAAUUUAUUAUGUGUAAGUGGGAGAUGUCAGAGAAAGAGCCAUAUUUAUAAUUUUCAUUUGUAAGGUCAAUAAGGUCCAUUUUAUUAAGUAAAUUUAUAAGAUGCUCGACCUUAUGUUUCUUAAAUGAGUGACGUAAUUAGAGAAAACGUGUGUCUUUUAAGGAACACUAACCUAUACUUCAUUAA